GGGAGCGGAGCUCGGUGGUUGAGUAGCGGAUUGUGAUUCCGAUGGCCGCGGGUUCGAAUCCCGUCGCUCCCC
rnacentral:tRNA from 1 species